CUCCUGUUUGUCCACUGACAGCCCUGGAGGACUUCAACACACAGUCUGCAGUACAGACAUCUUACCAUCAGUGACUGACAGAUUAACCUGAUCAGAGAGGCUCCACUGUACUUCACACCACACCAGUACCGAUCGGAAUCCUCAGCUGUCAGAUUGUUGAUGGUCACAGUGAAGACUCGCUGUACGGGACUCCACUCCAACAACCGCUGCAAACACCGCGCCUCCCUGAGAGCCAUCACCCAUCAGCUCAUCAGCCACUGCAACCAACUGCAAAGACCUCCCUCUUUCCUGCAUCCAAGUAAAC